GACAGUCCAGUCCUUUCAGCAAGCAGACACAGGGCAGCUGCAGUUCAAUCCUGAUGACACUGCCAGGCUCGCCAGACGGCCUGAGUCAACUAGAACUGGCUAGCUACCACAGGAACCUCUUGAGCAAUUCUUGGGUGAGUUUCUCUGUAUUUUGAGUUUAUCACAGAUUGAGUUCAACAAUGAUAUGUAAGGUGAACCAAUACAAGCAUGUCUUUAGUGAAGAGUAGCGAGGUGGAGCAAACCAGAGCUCAGUGCUCAGCUCCGGCUAUGUCAUAUUUAUAUUCCUUCAUCAAGCCUCCUUUCAUGUGUUUGUUAUAUCUAAACAUUCUUUUGCCUGUGUCUGCUUCAGGAAAACAGUCUUUCGCCUGUUCGCUUUAGCAAGACAUCCUUUCACCUGUGUGCCCCAGCAAAACAUCAUUUGACAUAACUAACUUUCCAAAGAACUAUAAGUUUCCACUUCAAAUGAGCUUUCUCGCUAACACACAGCAGAGGGAAUGGAGCAGAGCUUUCCCUGCUAAGAGUCUCCCAUCCUACAGUCUCUUGGAUACGCUUUGGCCACAUUGCAGGCUUCCAGCAAAAGGGGGUGUGAGCCUCAGCUGCCAUGGUCCCGUCUCAUUUCAUGGCACAUUUUUCACAUUGUCCACAUUGUUCUUACAAAUCCCUUUGUCUUCUUUAGCUUAAUAUUUCUUCACUGGUUCUGUUACCCAUCAUGUAUAACUACUUUUAAUGUCUCUCUUGCCAUUUCUGUGCACUUAAGCUAUAUCUUGAAAAAAAUAUGUGAAAUAUAUAUGGGAUAUAUAUUUAUAGACACCUUAAAACAUACCAUUAAGUUUUAUCUGUAACUGUUUUUUUUAUUGUUUCUGUUACUUGUGACUUGAUUAUGACUUUUAAUCAUUGGCAAUCCAAGUCAUACUAAGAAAUUCCUGUGGGGUCAAAACUUACACUGCCUGCAACACUGUCUCUGUGACUAAGACAGAGACAGCUAUGAUUUGCAAUUCAGGAUCCUAAUAUAGAAGCCAGUUUAAUAUAGAUCCCAAGCCUUCUGGUUUAAUACCCAUAUAGAAUCCCUUCCUGGUAGGGUGGUCCUUAUAAUCAACAUUAUAGACUGGCACCACGUGAGUUCCCAGACCAAGUCAUAAAAUCCAUUCCUGCUCCUCUCCUGGGUCAUUUGCUCUGUGGCAGUCCUAUGAAACAUUGCACAUAUCUAUCCUGAAACCAAAGUGAAGUUUAGCCAAUAUCCUGAUAAUUGCUUGAGAGAUCCUGAGCCAGACCUUCUUACCUAAAGCUACUCUUGAACUCAUGACCCACAUAAACUGUGACCAAUCAUAUUUUGUUUUCAUUUAAGUCGUUCAUCGUAGUCUGCUGGGGUGUACAGAAAAGUAGAAUAGAUCCAUAUGUAAUUAAUUGGAACAGAAUCGUGUAUAUAGAAGGUGACAAGGCCUUCCUAGUUUGUCAUAGAAGCAUAUAGGAGCGCGUGGCCCUGUUGAAGGCUUUGAGGCAGGAGAGUCUGUCUUACUAGAGAUGAGGUCGUCUUUAUUCUGCCCAGGCAUGGGUUCCGUAGAUGACAUUCACUCACAGUUUUAAAGUAUGCUUAUUCUGUCUAGUGACCUAAAUGUUAACCAACAAAAACAUAGGAUUUUUUUUUUGGUCAAAUAUUUGGAGCACCAUUCGGUUGACAGAUUAAGUUCACCUAUAUCAAGCCUACAAACUUGUUCUUUAAGGGUCUGUCCACGUUUUGUGAAGAUUAAAUGUUACACAAGCAUUGGGCUCCUUCUCAAUAAAUGCAUGGAAUUCUGUAUCAAUAAGAACUUAAAUAAUAGCUGGGCGUGGUGGCGCACGCCUUUAAUCCAAGAAAUCGGGAGGCAGAUGCAGGUGGAUUUCUGAGUUCGAGGCCAGCCUGGUCUACAAAGUGAGCCAGGGCUACAAAGGACAGCCAGGGCUAUUCAGAGAAACCCUGUCUCGAAAAACCAAAAGAAAAAAAAAAUUAAAUGAUUACUUAAACACUUACCUAUUGUAUUUUUAUUUUUGAAAAUAUUUCUCCUCUUCCCAUGUCUAACCUCUUUUCAAAUUGAUAGCCUCCUCUUCUUUAUCAUUGUUACAUAUCCAUAUAAAUGAAUAUAACCAUAAAUACAAUCUGUCCGAUACAUUUAGUGUUACUUAUGUAUAUAUUUUUAUGCCUGACCAAUCAGGUGGCUCAUUCCUGGGAAAGAAUAAUUUUUCCUCUCUCCACAGAUGCUAAUUGCAUGUAGUUCUUCAUCUAGGGCGCCAUGACAUUUCUCCCAUCUAACUGUUGAAACUGUGUAGGUCUUGUUUAGACAACCAUGCUGUUGAGAUUUCAUGGGCCUGGAAGGCACAUUCUUGGUCCUCUGGGGCGUACCAUGUGUCUGUCCAUUCUUACAAGAUGUUCCUUAAGCCCCGAGGGCCAGAGUGUGUUUCAUCAGUUUGGGCUGCGCACCCCGCGGUCAGUUCUCUGCAUUUUCACUCGCUGUGGCUCUGCAAUGUCUCUUGCUGCAAAAGAAACUUCUCUAAUGAGGCCCAAGGGCUGCACUCUUUACGCUGAUUCAGAGCACACGAUGUCCCGGCCAGGCUGGGCCUUGGGAUUGAAUGUCUGGGCGACUGGGUGAAGCCCUAGUGUCUGUUACUUUAACCCAUUCACCUUUUUACGUCAUUUGUUACAUUGCAGUAAAUUAUGUUAAAGUGUCUCAGAGACGAAUUCCUCCUAUGAGAAAAGCCCCAAGCUGUUGGAUGUGCGCAUGCGUCCCACGGCCUUGCCACACUGCUCCGUGGGCAAUGAACACUCCUGUGUACGCACCUUCCAGCCGCAGAAGAGGAUGUCAGUCUUGCCUUCGAACUGAUGCUUAGUAUUUAGGUGAUUUUCACAGAUUUUUUGUCCCCCCCCCCCCCAGCUCUGGUACUGGUUUGUUUUCUCACGGGUUUUGUCCCAUGUAGUAAGAAAAUCUAAUUGUAGCUGGCUUUAGAACUACGGGUGCUACUUCUGAUGGCUGUUUUCAGCCAGUGGCUAGGUGAUGAGGCUGGCAUUGCCAAGAACAUGUGCAACAAGAUCAUGGUAAGGACUGAGAUGUGAUAGGCCUAAGAGUUAUAAGUUACAGUCCUAACGUGACAGCUGGCUGAAUCCAGUUAGGACCUCCUUUGAAAGUCCUAGAAGUAUUUUAGUAUUUACAUUUGGUAUUUGUCAUUAGUGUUUAAAUCUAGGAGGAGCUGGUGACAGAGUUGAUAGCUGCUGCCCCUUUGGAGAUUCUAUUGACCACUGAGGCUUUUCCCCCUGGGUGCGUGCAGGGUAAGGAGUUCAGGUGUGGACCUCAGGCAUCCAUGCCUGCACAUGCAGCCAAGCACAGCUGGGGCUGUGUGCAUGCAGACAGCAUCUCCCAGACACGUUUAAUUAAUCUUCCUCAUUAUUUCAAACAUCUCAAUUCCCUUGUCCACCAAAAUGUGGCAAAAACUGUGGGAGCCUUGACAGCAUUGUGGAGUGAUCUCCAGAUGGCGACUUUGUAAGAGAGGAACACAUUUCGGGGGGAAAAAAAUCU
rnacentral:lncRNA from 1 species